rnacentral:other from 1 species
AAGACGGCAGGAAGCAGGAACAUCAGGAUGAUGUUGCUUCAGGAUGAAGUAGAAGGGAACACACCCAGGACGGGUGAAAGGAUGUACCGCAGGAUGUGGUCGAAGGAUGUUUCAGGACGAAACAAGGGACACCUCCAGGACGGAGAAUGAGAGCCGGCACAGGAUGGUCGGUGGGUCAGGAGCGACCAAGGGAAGAAAAGCGUCAGGAUGACGCAGGAUAAUAAGUCAGGGAAAGAAAGUAGGACACGCCACAACGGAUAUGUGGGAAACGGAAAGCCAAGGGAAAAGUUUUCAAGGAUGAGCAGGGAGCACCUUGAGUAGCAGGAUUGCUGCAAAACGAACCGGGGGUACUGCAUUGCAGUACCCCCUUUUUUUGUC